CUCUACGGCCACAAGGUACCAC
rnacentral:siRNA from 1 species